rnacentral:rRNA from 1 species
ACUUUGACCUCAAAUCAGGUAGGACUACCCGCUGAACUUAAGCAUAUCAAUAAGCGGAGGAAUGGAUC